UGUGUGUGUGUGUGUGUAUGUAUAUGUAUGUGUGUGUGUGUGUGUAUGUAUAUAUAUAUAUAUAUACACACACACACAUU